rnacentral:rRNA from 1 species
AUACGGAGGAUCCGAGCGUUAUCCGGAUUUAUUGGGUUUAAAGGGAGCGUAGGUGGACAGUUAAGUCAGUUGUGAAAGUUUGCGGCUCAACCGUAAAAUUGCAGUUGAUACUGGCUGUCUUGAGUACAGUAGAGGUGGGCGGCAUUCGUGGUGUAGCGGUGAAAUGCUUAGAUAUCACGAAGAACUCCGAUUGCGAAGGCAGCUCACUGGACUGCAACUGACACUGAUGCUCGAAAGUGUGGGUAUCAAACAGGAUUAGAUACCCUGGUAGUCCACACAGUAAACGAUGAAUACUCGCUGUUUGCGAUAUACAGUAAGCGGCCAAGCGAAAGCAUUAAGUAUUCCACCUGGGGAGUACGCCGGCAACGGUGAAACUCAAAUGAAUUGACGGGG